UACGGAGGGUGCAAGCGUUAUCCGGAUUCACUGGGUUUAAAGGGAGCGCAGGCGGAUUAGUAAGUCAGUGGUGAAAGCCUUGAGCUUAACUCGAGAACUGCCAUUGAUACUAUUAGUCUUGAAUGUUGUUGAGGUUUGCGGAAUGGGUCAUGUAGCGGUGAAAUGCAUAGAUAUGACCCGGAACACCUAUUGCGAAGGCAGCAGGCUAAACAAAUAUUGACGCUGAGGCUCGAAAGCGUGGGGAUCAAACAGG
rnacentral:rRNA from 1 species